CUUAUGGGAAGUCAUCGGUGUAACAUCUGAUUCAGGGGUCUGCAGGGCGGUGUUGAGACCAUUUUUUCUUCCCCCCCACCCUUUCAAAACAGAGCAGGCCCGCCAUUUCCUCCCCUCCUCAUUCAGUGGUCUUUUUUUUUCUUCUUUCAUAGCGCUUUUUUAAAGAAGGCGAGCAGCGGCGGCGGCGGUGGGCAGGCAGCGGGGAUCCGGUGUAGCCACGUCGGGAUGAGAGCGACACACAAGCCCCGGUUGGAUGAGUCAGCGAGUGGACCUUACAACCACCGCAAACCAUACAUCUGAAGCAGAAAUUACAAAAGACAUUUUUUUAAGAUUAUUAUUGUUGUUGUUAUUGUCAGAUCCUCUCCUGUUUAUUCCGCCCUCCCCUGGUCCACGUCUGCCAUAGCCAAGUUGUGUGUGUGUUUUGUUUUUUUUUUAAUUUCCACAAAAAAAAGAAAAAGAAGCCGGGGGGGUCCAGCAAGGUUGUGGACGUGGUGGAUGUUUUACUUAUUUUUUUAAAGUUUUUUUUUUUUUAAAGCUCCCACAUCCGAAGAUAAACCACAGACGAACCUACAUUAGUACAAAGUCUUUUGUUGCAGUCUGUUCAGUGAGGGAGCGAAGAUGUCGGGGCAGAGCAUCACGGACCGGAUCACUGCAGCCCAGCACAGUGUGACGGGAUCCGCUGUGUCCAAAACAGUAUGCAAGGCCACCACUCACGAAAUAAUGGGCCCGAAAAAGAAACAUUUGGACUAUUUGAUUCACUGCACCAACGAGAUGAACGUGAACAUUCCCCAACUGGCUGACUCGCUGUUUGAAAGAACCACCAACACCAGCUGGGUGGUUGUGUUUAAGUCGCUUAUCACCACACACCAUCUCAUGGUUUACGGCAACGAGCGUUUUGUCCAGUACUUGGCUUCAAGGAAUACACUAUUCAACCUCAGCAAUUUUUUGGACAAAAGUGGGUUACAAGGUUAUGACAUGUCCACAUUUAUCAGGAGGUAUAGUCGAUACCUGAACGAGAAAGCUGUUUCAUACAGACAGGUUGCCUUUGACUUCACGAAAGUUAAGCGAGGAGUGGACGGCGUAAUGAGGACCAUGAAUACAGAGAAGCUGCUCAAGACCAUCCCCAUUAUUCAGAACCAGAUGGACGCCCUCCUCGAUUUCAAUGUCAAUGCCAACGAGCUGACUAAUGGAGUCAUCAACGCAGCCUUCAUGCUCCUCUUCAAAGACUCCAUCAGACUCUUUGCUGCUUAUAACGAAGGCAUUAUCAACUUGCUCGAGAAAUACUUUGACAUGAAGAAGACCCAGUGUAAAGAAGGUCUGGACAUUUACAAAAAGUUUCUUACCCGAAUGACCCGGAUAUCAGAGUUCCUCAAAGUAGCAGAGCAGGUGGGCAUCGAUCGAGGAGACAUUCCAGACCUUUCUCAGGCUCCCAGUAGCCUUCUUGAAGCUCUGGAGCAGCAUUUGGCCUCUUUAGAGGGCAAGAAGGUCAAAGACUCCACUGCAGCCAGCAGGGCCAGCACUUUGUCAAAUGCAGUGUCGUCGCUGGCAAGCACGGGGAUGUCUUUCACUAAAGUGGAUGAGCGGGAGAAGCAGGCGGCUCUCGAAGAGGAACAGGCCCGACUCAAAGCUCUGAAGGUGGUUUUGCUUUAUGAACAGCGGCUCAAGGAACUCUCCAAAAGGCCCUCCUUCGCUACCACUGAUACGUCGCCGGUCUCCACCACCGGGGGCACUAUCAGCACAGCGCCAGCCAUUGACCUCUUCUCCACACCAAGCUGCUCUAAUGGUGCCGUGAAGAUGGAAAGCGACCUCUUUGACUUGCAGUCAACUUUCCAGCCGUCCAUGCAGUCCAGCUCAACAGGGCUUCCAGUGGCGACAGCGUGGGCAGAUCCUUUCACCUCUGCUGAAGCUGGAGAUGAUUCCAUGCCAAACCUUAACCCUUUCCUCUCAAAAAUCGUUGUCGAUGCCACUCACUUACCUGUCGUGUCUUCAGACGGUGUUAGCUUUUCCUCUAGGACAUCUGGUCAUGAAAUGUUUGGUGACUCCUUCUGUGGUCCAGUGUCCAUUGCCCAGCACCUUCCACAUCAGGCUCCUUACCCCACUGAGCCCUCUGUAGCAGGUCUAUUCAGAGGAUACUCAACACCACAGGGCCCUCCGCAGCAGUCAGCAGGGGGACUCCAAGUGGACUUUGAGUCAGUUUUUGGAGCCAAAGCUUCAGGCAGCAACAGCCUCAAUUCUGACGAUAUCGCUGGAGGCAUCCUGAAACCGACUCUUGCCGGAUCCAACUUGCUGUCCAAUCAGCAGCCAGAGAAGCUGGUUUCAGAUGACCUUGACUCCUCACUGGCCAACCUUGUCGGCAACCUCGGCAUUGGAAACGGCACGAUGAAAAAUGACAUCCACUGGAGUCAGCCGGGGGAGAAGAGGAUGACCGGCGGCACCAACUGGCAGCCAAAGGCGGCGCCGUCCACGACCUGGAACCCCGUCUCCAUGCCAUCGUCAGUCAUGGCCUUCCCUGCCACCACACCCACAGGCAUGAUGGGAUAUGGCAUGCCUCCACAAAUGGGCUCCAUGGGGAUGAUGAAUCCACCCACCAUGAUGUACACCCAGCCUGUGAUGAGGCCACCCAACCCCUUCGGCUCUGUGUCUAGUGCUCAGGUGGGUGUGCAGCAGUCUGACCACUGCACGGAGCUGAUGCACCACAAACUUCUCCAAACUAAUCUCAUCCCUCCUCCAGUCUCUGUACUGACUCUUUGACUUCUCCUCUGGUCCUCCUACUUCCUGUAUUUCUUCCUGUAUUAGCCCUCUGCAGCCUCUAGUCCUUCCAGCCAGAGUCCUCUCCGAGCCCCUGGACAGGACCCGUUUGCACACCUCUCUCUCAAGGAUUUCUUGUAGAGCAUCUCUUUAGAUGCAGUUCAUGUAAUUUGAAGGAAGUGUCUCUCGGAAGAUGAAGCACUUAGCAGCAAAGCUUUGUCCUCGUUGCAGUCUUAACUCUUCAGAGAAACAUUCACACACCCUCCAAAUACAGACAUGUCAAGAACACAACGGUGCAGCGACUGUCAGAAACCAUGGUAACCAUGUCCAAAUGACAUUUGGCGAUAGCUCACACCCAUUAUUCUGUAACUUGUCCGAGACGUCGAGUGAUGCUGCUGUCUAACCCCCUUAAAAGGAUUCCUUAUCCAUUUUACAGUAUAAUCUGUAAAGCUAGUUAUGGGUGCUGAGAAACUUUGAUGUUAUGUAUUUGGAAAUACUGUGGUUGGAUGUGAAGGCUUGAUGUUGAGCGGGGAGGGGGGUGCAAGAAAAAGGAGAGCAGUCCUUCCCUUUCUUGAUCCGGUCAUCUGUCAUCCAUUCCCUACAGUUAUUUAACUGUCACUAAGUAGUGAUGCUAAUGACGUUUACACCUGUUUAGUUUUUGUCUUUUUUACCGUGUUUACAGUAGACAUUCCUUGUGUGUUGUUUGUAUUUAUUUAUGAUUAUUGGUUUAAGAUUGGGGGGGAAAAUAUUGUAAAAUCUACAGUACAUUGAACACCUGUGGGAGUGCUUCAGCGUUAAACAAGGAUCUCAGACUAUCAUUAAGAGGUAGAGUGAAAAAUAGCUAUUAUAUAAAUUACACCUAUUAAGCGGAAUGAUAGAGCACUAAAUAUUCUCCGAGUUUUGUGUUAAGAACAUUUUUUACUAGAUGAAAGAUUUCACAAUCUCCAUUGUACUUAAAGUGCAGGGGUUAGAGUAUGGUCAGUUAACAGUAUAUAGUCGAUUCUGUGCCUAGGGUUUUGCAAUGGAACAGUUUCCUGUCUAGUUGAAAAACACUUCAUCCACAAUUCUGAAGCGUCGCACUCGGUGGUGGGCUCCAUUUGCUUUAAGCUUGGCAUGCCAUUGACUCACUGACCGUAUUCAAGGCUGCCUUUACUCUGAAUGUGAAAGAGUUGUCUUCAUGUUGCACACAUCUUUCCACACUACAGAUCCUCAGUGGGAGUGGAGGGGGAGGGUGGGGGUGGGGGUUGGGUGUCUGCUUGUUGGUUAGCUGUUGCUAUGCUAAUGGAGGGAAAAAGGGUCACAGAUUUGAUGUAAAUUAAUUGUAUAAAAGAUCCAGAGGACCAGGGUGGAGUGGAGGAGCACUGUUGAUCGGUGCUCUGUGUAUAUAAAAACUGACUGUUCUUUGAGUGCAAAGGUGAAAGAUGUAUGAAAUAUGAAAGCAAUUCAAUCAAAUUUGACUCUACCUAAGUUUAAUUCAGGAUAUUCUCUGCGUUUGUCUCCGCAGAUAUUUUCUUUAUGUAAUUAGAACGUGUAGCAGACAAUGACUGAAGUCUUUUCUUUCUUUUACAAAUAAAGAGCAGCUUCCACAAA